rnacentral:rRNA from 1 species
UACAGAGGUGGCAAGCGUUGUUCGGAAUUACUGGGCGUAAAGGGCGCGUAGGUGGCCUUCUUAGUCAGACGUGAAAUCCCCGGGCUUAACUCGGGAACUGCGUCUGAUACUGGAAGGCUCGAGUUCGGGAGAGGAAUGUGGAAUUCCAGGUGUAGCGGUGAAAUGCGUAGAUAUCUGGAGGAACACCGGUGGCGAAGGCGGCAUUCUGGACCGAAACUGACGCUGAGGCGCGAAAGCCAGGGGAGCAAAGCGGGGAU